UACGAAGGGGGCUAGCGUUGCUCGGAAUCACUGGGCGUAAAGGGUGCGUAGGCGGGUCUUUAAGUCAGGGGUGAAAUCCUGGAGCUCAACUCCAGAACUGCCUUUGAUACUGAAGAUCUUGAGUCGGGAGAGUGAGUGGAACUGCGAGUGUAGAGGUGAAAUUCGUAGAUAUUCGCAAGAACACCAGUGGCGAAGGCGGCUCACUGGCCCGAUACUGACGCUGAGGCACGAAAGCGUGGGAGCAAACAGG
rnacentral:rRNA from 1 species